rnacentral:rRNA from 1 species
AGCGAACGCUGGCGGCAGGCCUAACACAUGCAAGUCGAACGAAGUCUUCGGGCUUAGUGGCGGACGGGUGAGUAACACGUGGGAACGUACCUUUUGGUUCGGAAUAACGCAGAGAAAUUUGCGCUAAUACCGAAUGAGCCCUUCGGGGGAAAGAUUUAUCGCCGAAAGAUCGGCCCGCGUUGGAUUAGGUAGUUGGUGUGGUAAGGGCGCACCAAGCCUACGAUCCAUAGCUGGUCUGAGAGGAUGAUCAGCCACACUGGGACUGAGACACGGCCCAGACUCCUACGGGAGGCAGCAGUGGGGAAUCUUGCGCAAUGGGCGAAAGCCUGACGCAGCCAUGCCGCGUGAAUGAUGAAGGUCUUAGGAUUGUAAAAUUCUUUUACCAGGGACGAUAAUGACAGUACCUGGAGAAAAAGCCCCGGCUAACUUCGUGCCAGCCGCCGCCGUAACAC